rnacentral:misc_RNA from 1 species
CAACCCUCGAGCCCCCGUGGCCCGGCGUUGGAGAUCUGCCCAGGCAGUCUCCGAAAUCCAGUGGCGGACCCGUUACAGGCCCUUCCUUUGCGUAGUAAUACUGCCUCGCAUCGGGAGCCGGCGGGCUUCAGCCUCUAAACCCCCAGCAAGUCCGCUCCGGCGGCACCAA